CCAGACGAUCGCUGGGGGCGUUGGCCCCGAGAGGAAAGUCCGGACUCCAUAGGGCAUCGUAGCAGCUAACGGCUGUCCACCGCGAGGUGCGGAUUAGAGCAACAGAGACGAGCCGACUUCGGGUCGGGUGAAACGGGCAAUCUCUACGAGGAGCAACAUCAAAUAGGCUACCGAUAAUCCUGCCCGGAUUGGUAGCGGGUAGAUGGCUUGAGGCGAUAUGUGAGUAUCGUCCUAGAUGAAUGAUCGUCACAGCCUCAAGGGUAACUUGAGACUGAACAUAAUCCGGCUUACGG
rnacentral:RNase_P_RNA from 1 species